UCCAGCUCGUCGCUGGCAGUCCCAAUAGAGUGCUCAGCAUCCCUUGCGGGAUCUGGGGGCAACUAUUAGCAAUGGUUGCGCUCGUUGUGGCACUUAAGCCAACACCUCACGGCACGAGCUGACGACAGCCAUGCAGCACCUGUACAAGUUCUCGACUGGUUACGAGUCGUUGCCCUUUCAGGUUCCUACUUCAAGUAUGUCAAGCCUGGGUAAGGUUCUUCGCGUAGCAUCGAAUUGAACCACAUGUUCCACCGCUUGUGCUGGCCCCCGUCAAUUCCUUUGAGUUUCAGCCUUGCGGCCGUACUCCCCUGGCGGGACACUUAAUGCGUUAGCGACGGCACCGAGGGGGUCGCUCCCCCCGACGCCUAGUGUCCAUCGUUUACGGCGUGGACUAC
rnacentral:misc_RNA from 1 species